GGAAGUAAAACGGGAGUGGUGAAACAUAAAACAUGGAAACGGAAGAGGAACUACACCAACCCUUCUUGAGCUCAACCCAUGAUGACCGAUCAUCACACGCAACAGAUUCCCGUCUGGAAGAAGUGCUAUCAGACACCACCGUACCCUUCUCCAAGCGACUCCUCUCAGCCACAUGGAUCGAACUCAAGCUCCUAUUUCCCCUUGCAGGACCUGCAAUCAUCGUUUAUGUCAUCAACAACCUCAUGUCCUUCGUCACUCGAGCCUUCGCCGGCCACCUUGGAAACCUCGAACUCGCUGCGGCCAAUCUUGGCAACAGUGGCAUUCAGCUCCUCGCCUAUGGACUAAUGGUAAAUUGUAUAUACGGAUCACCAUUACCAACUUUAUCUUCGCUACUCACAAAUACUAGUGAUUAUUUAUUUGUUUUGUGUGUGGUAAUUGGUUUAGCUGGGUAUGGGAAGUGCUGUGGAGACUUUAUGCGGACAAGCCUACGGAGCAAAUAAGCAUGAGAUGUUGGGAGUAUACAUGCAGAGAGCAAUUAUCGUUUUAGUUGUAACUGGGAUUCCCUUAACGGUGGCGUAUAUCUUCUGCGAGCCCAUUCUUCUCUUGCUGGGUGAACCCCCUGAGCUUGCUUCGGUUGCCAAGGUUUUUGUGUACGGUUUGAUCCCACAGAUCUACGCUUACGCGGUGAACUUCCCCAUACAGAAGUUUCUGCAGGCGCAGAGUGUGGUGGCGCCAAGCACUUACAUCUCCGGGGCUACGUUGCUGCUCCAUGUACUGCUGAGUUGGGUGGUGGUGUACUGGUUGAAGAUUGGGCUCAUAGGCUCCUCCUUGACACUCAGCUUGUCUUGGUGGAUCAUAGUAGUGGCCCAGUUUCUGUACAUAGUUCUUGCCCCCAGGUUUAAGCGGACGUGGACUGGGCUUAGCAUCGAAGCCUUAUCUGGGCUUUGGGCUUUUGUGAAGCUCUCGGCCGCCUCUGCUGUUAUGCUGUGUUUGGAAACGUGGUAUUUUCAGGUGCUUGUACUGAUUACCGGCUUGCUUGACAAUCCUCAGCUUUCUCUUGAUUCUAUCGCUGUUUGGUAAGUAAAUCCUGCUUUAAUCACUUUCUAUAUUACCACUAAUAGUCAUAAUAAUUAUUUCGGACUUCUGAAAUCUCACUUCAUAAAAAGUUGUAUUUUAUAUAAACAAUUUCACUUUUUUCAAUUAUUUAUAUUAAAAUUUAUCUUUUAUUUCAGAUAAACAAACUCAAGAUUCAAUCGAUUUGUAAUUUAAAUUUUUAAAUAAAAACUACAAUUUAAUUUCACAAAGAUCAAAACUAAAAUUAAAACUCAGAUUGAAGAUUGAUUGGUGAAUAAUUCAAUUUGAUUUAUUUAAUCUUAUGCUAAUUGAUCUCAUAAAUUGAGUUCUUCAUUACAACAAAGAAAAAAAAACAAAAAUAAGAGAAAAGAGGGAGAAGAGAGAAAAAUAGAAAAACUAAAAGUAUACAAUUUGAAAAAUGAUGUUGGUCUUUGUGUUAUGUGAGCUCUGAAAAUUGACACAAAUGUGGUUAAUCAUGAUUCAAUUUAGGUCUGAGUCAACUUACAAAAAUUUAAGGUUUAGUGAACUUUAAUAAACUAAAAAAAUAAAUCAUCGAGAAAAAUGGGAAUAAAUUUUCAAAGAGAAAUGUAAAGUAGGCCAAUUUGGGUAAGUGACUGAAAAUCAGAGAAGACUGUGAAUAAAGAAUGAGAACAAAUCAUAUAAAAAAGAGUGAAGACAAAUUAUAAAACACCUACACACAAAUAAAUCACACGAUAAAAGAAAAACUCAAAUCUCACCGACAUGUUUUCUACAGAAACAAUAAUUGACAAUCUAAUUAUGAUGCAAAACUCAUUCCACUAAAAUGGAAGGAACAAUAAUUGGCAAUCUAAAAUUUAUUUAACAAAUACUAUUUAUUCUUUUUAAAGUCGUGUUUCUGUAUAUACAACAUGAAUUCAUCACUUAUAAUUUUUUUUUUUAAAUCUAUCCAUUUUAUUAAAAUUGAAUCAAAGUUACACUCGUUUUAUAAAUAGCGUAAGCAAAACCGCUUCAUUUUUAGUAGAGAAUAGAAGAAUGAUCAUACAGUGUGGAAAGUGAAAAAAAAGAAGAUAUAUUUGGUAACGAAUAACCCUAACAGAGCAUAGAGUUUUGAGUGUACGCAGCAUGUCAAUAGCAGGGUUGAUGCUGAACAUAUCAAUUGGAUUCAAUGCAGCUGUAAGGUGAGGGUUUUGUGGAUUGAUUCUGCAGCAUGCAUGGUGUUUUUAUAUGAUAAAGAUGUGAUGAUUGUUAUGUGUAACAGUGUGAGGGUGAGUAACGAAUUGGGGGCUGGGCAUCCAAAAUCUGCAGCAUUCUCAGUGAUUGUGGUGAAUAUGAUAUCGUUCAUUAUUAGUGUGAUAGAAGCAGUGCUAGUUCUUGCUCUGCGUAGGGUUUUAAGUUACGCUUUCACAGAUGGUGAAACAGUAGCCAACGCUGUCUCAGAUCUCUGUCCCUAUUUGGCCGUUACUCUCAUUCUCAAUGGAAUUCAACCCGUCCUAUCUGGUACUCUUUACAUUCAUUUAUGAAAAUAAAAUAAUCAUAAAAAAUAAAUAUUAAUGUUUUAUAUGAUAAUAUUUUGUAAGAAAAAAUAACCCUAAGAGUGACUACUUUUUGUAGGAGUGGCUGUUGGGUGCGGAUGGCAAGCCACUGUGGCUUAUGUCAAUGUGGGCUGUUAUUAUUUGAUUGGAGUUCCUUUGGGUUGCAUCUUGGGCUUCAACUUCGGCCUUGGCGUGCAGGUAACAAUAUUUAUUGGGCUUUACAAACAAUUACUGUAUUUUUAUAUCAAUAAAGUAUAUUUUCAUACUGCAUUGUUUAUUUACUGUCAUAUUUUUGCUAAAAAUAUUUUAUACAGUUGUUUUGAUAUGUAAUAAUUAAUAUACAGGGAAUAUGGUCGGGAAUGAUCGGCGGAACAAUGUUGCAAACUCUCAUCUUAUUAUGGAUCACACUUCGCACUGAUUGGGAUAAAGAGGUAAUCAUCUUAUACGUCAUUAUAAUCAAGCAUUAUGAUUCGAUAUUCAUUUUUAACACUUACGUAUCUGUAUUGCAAAUUAUUCGUUUCUCCAUCGUAAAUGAAACUAAAUACACAUUAAUUGUUCUACCACCUUUUUUAUUAGCCUUCAUUUUGACACUUUAUGAUAAAAUUAUGAACAUAGGUGAGUACAACAAAGGAACGAUUGGAGAAGUGGGACCACAAAAAACAGGCUAAAGUUGAGAGUUGAUAUGUUUCAUCUAGGAAAAGGAAAAAAAAAAAGUUGGUACUAAAAGUUGUACUCGUAACUAUAUUUUUAGCAUAUUUAAUUAUAGAACUUGUACUUACUUUUUGUUGUUAUUGAAUUUGGAAGCGUGGCAGUGGUAGCAUGUGAUUGGAUUAUGGAAAUUUUGAUAAUUGUUUUUGUGAUGACGGUAUUUUGAUAACACUUUUUGAUAAUUUUUUUACAACAGGAUACGUGUCAUCACCUAUUUGUCUAUUUGAAUUUAUGUUUAAAAAAAUAUUUAAAACAGACCAAUUAUAAGUUGUCACGUAUGCAGGUUGUUAAAAAACACUUUUUUCCUUUUGAAUAUUGAAAUGUGAUGAAAUAUUUUUUUUAUAAAAGGAUUUUUAUGCUCAAAAUAAUAAGAGAAUAAGAUUUUUAUAUAUAGAAGAGGGUGAGUAUCUGUUUAAGUGUCAUUUUUUAAUAAAUAUGUAUAAAUAUUUAUACAAUAUUGAGGUCCUAUGUCAUUUAUGGUUUAAAUAUAAAGUAUAUCUAUUAAAAAUAAACUAUUAAAAUAAAAUUACUAAAAUUGUAAUAAUAGAUUUUUCACAUAUUUUGAUUGAGUAUGUAUUUUUUCAAAUUUCGUAUUCUUUUAACUAAGAAAGAGUCACAUCAAGUAUCUAUCUAUUAUAAAUUUAUUGAGUAUGUAUUUUUUUAAAUUUUAUAUUCUUUUAUUUAGGAAAGAGUCACAUUAAGUACAGAUACUAUCUACCUGUUAUCUAAAUCGUAACAAAAAAACUUACCUAAUAUUCGUGUAGAUAUUUGUUUAAGAGAUAUUCGCAUAUAUUUUAAGAUAUGUAGAUACACGUGAAUACAUAAAAAUAUUUUUAAAAAUAUAUUUUAUAAAUUUUUAAAAUAAAAUUAAAAAAUUAUAUAAAAUAUAAUAUAAUAUAAAUUAAAAUUUAACUUUAAUUUCAUUUAAUAUGAUAAAAUAUCAAAUAAUUUUAAUUUUAGUUAAACUUAAUUUAAUAUAAAUUUAAUUUUUAUUUUGUUUUUUCAAAUAUUAAAUAUCUAUCAGUACUAAUAAUAUCAUACUCACAUAUAAAUAAGUAUUAAAAUAUCCAUAAUCUAUAAGUACACAAAUAAUUUUAUUUUUUUUGUCAUUUGAGCUUCGAACUCGCUUCAAUUUCAUGAUCUAAUCCAUUUAAAAAAUGUAGCAUAGUUGCUUUGUUGUAGGAUUUCUUUGACUUUUCUUUCAAUUCCUUCAAGCGUUUUGUUCUUUAUUGUGUCCUCAUCUCCUUCCUUAUAAAGAAUUCUUUAAUCUAAUAAAUCAUUGUUUUGACCUUUAAUAUGUUAUCAUCUCUUUCAUCAUCAACAAUUUAAUUUAAUCAUCACCGAUGACAUUAUUCUCUCUCAGACAUACUUUGUUUUAACUCUUCACCACAUAAACACUAAUAACGUGAAUGAAGAAUAAAGCAAAGAAAAACUCCAAUAAUUAUAUCGGAAUGAAGAUUCUAAAAUUAAUUUCUUCUUCUACAUUUUCUCUAUGUAUUUGGUGAUCACUCUUAUUAUUAUAAAUAACUAAUCCUUCUUUUUGUUGGAAUUCAAUGCAAUUCGUUAAACUUUUAUUAUAUGUCAUGUUUAUUACUCAAUAAUAUCAGUGAUUUAAUUUCAUUCUAAAUGGUAACUUUUUUCAUUUAAAUUGAAGUUGAAAAAUAUUUUCUAAAACUGUUUUGAGGAAUAAUUAUAUAAAGGUUAAAAAUAGAUUUGAAGUUUUAGUUGAACAAGUUCUUAAACUUAUUACAUGAACUCUCAUUUGAUAAAUUAUGGAAUUAAAUUAAUUACUGAACUAACAUAUAUUUGGAAUUUCUAAGUGUAUCGAAGUAAUUUAGAAUCACUUUUAUAAAUAGAUAAUAUUACGCAACAUAAGAGUGAUAUAAGUGAAACCCAAUUCCAAUAACUUAUUGUAUUCUUAUAUAUUUUUUGAAAUUUUAUAAUUGUUUUACUUGGGAUUUAAUUUACAAACUUAAGAUUUAAAUAAAUAUUUUUUUAUUAUAUUUAUUAUAAAUCUACUUAAAAUUAUUUUAACUAACAUAGUAAACAUUAUAAAUAUCUACUUAAUUGUAGUGGAUCAAAUACCCCUAAGACAUUUUUUGAAUAAACAUUUCAUUUUAAAUGUUUUUUUUUAAUUUAAAAAACAUUCUUUAAUAAGCUUUGAGAAGUGUUAAAUAUGAAUCAUUAAUAUUUCUUUCAUGGACUUUUUCUAUCUUUUAUAUGGUUCUUUGCUUAAAAAAAAAAAAAAAUUACUAUUUCAAUACCAUAAUAACACCAAGUAUUCUUUUUANCCAAGGCUUUGCUACUUCGGGUCUUUUAACCGAAAUGCAUGAAUCCUUCAAAUUAGUGCCUGCUUUACAGUCCCAUUGGUUAAUGAUGCACGUAAGUAUGAUGAUAUUGGGUUAUACAACUCUUUUAUGUGGAUCAUUAAUAUCAGUGGCUAUUUUAGUCAUUACAUUUCAAGAACUCAUACAAAUUUUUGAGAAAUCACAUUUUGUAUUUAUCAAAGGAGUCUUUAAUUUUAUUUUGACUUCUUACGUUGGAGUCUCGUAUCGAUUAGAGAUAAGGUCAAUUUAUAAUAUAUAAGUGAAUUGUAACCUUACAAACUGGGAUUGAAUUAGACUAAAAAUCCUAAAAGCCUAUCAUGCUUAAACCAACUUUGACUUCAAAAACUUUGGAUAAAUUCAAAAAUGUAUUUUGGCAUAUACCUUCAUGAUUUUAAUUUGUUGUAAAUGGUUCUUUAUAUUAUUUUGAAUAUGUUCCAAAUUGUCAGUUGAAGAUUACCUUUUACGUUAUUAAUCUUUUUAAAUCUCUACUUAUAUUUUAAACAUUUUUUUUCUUUGAUCAUGUAAAGUUUAUUAUUUUUGUUUUGUUAUUAUGGAUUUUUAUUUCCUUAAAAACAUUGUAAUAACUUGACACAUUCUUUACAAAAACUCAUUAGAGACACGCAUUAAAAAAACUUAUUGUCAUAAAAAAGUUUAUCAAACACUAACUAAUGGGAUUUUUUCUUUUAUAAUUUUUAUUCGAUGGUCGAUUGAUGUGUCUCCCCAUGCAUCAUAUUUUAAAGUUGUUUUAUAUCAAAUCUUGUUACAUUUAAGAAUAAUUUGAUCGUUAUUUAUUCCAUUUUCUCUUAUUCAAGAAGUAUUUCUUAAUAACUUGUAGCACUUGGUAACCGAAGUUUGACAAAAAUAAAUAAUAAAGACAAGUUGAAGCAAUUAUAUUUUUCUCCUUUCUCAAUAAUUUGAGGUUCAGAUGUUUUUAUAUUCUCUUUUAAAUGAAUCAGGAAAGUAAUUAUAGCACCUUAUAAAUAAUUAUUAUAACACAACACUAGCCCUGUUUGUUUCCAAGGACAGAAACUAGGGAAGCAUACAUUUGAGACGAAAUUGAAAAAAAAAAAAAAAAGAUAAAAUAAACUGCUAUAUUUUUUAUUUUCUAAACUUUCCUUCCUCUUAUAUAAAAAAAACACAGGAAAAGUCAUAUAAUAAUGAUAAUAAUAAGUAUUACAAUUUAUAAUGAUAAUAUAAAUAAUAAUAUAGAUUUCAAUCAAAUCAUUCAUAAACUUUUAUAAUUUUUAUUCGAAUCAUUUCAUUGUUAUAACUUGAACCUAAUUAUCACACCUAAUUAUCACGUGAUUAGGAGUUGAUGUCAUUAAGCAUGAAUUUUGUGUCUCGGUAAAGAAUUGUGAUCAAAAUGAAAUAAUUUUAACUUAAAAAAAUAAUUUUAAUAAUUUAUUCAAAAAUUUAAAGAGAUUAUUUUUCUAUUAGCUGAUUCCCAGUCUAUCUAGAUAUAUACUUUUUUAUAUAAAAAAAAAUACAUAUUAAGUAAAAAGGAGAAUUUAGAAAAAUUUUGUAAAAAGUAUUGUUUAUUUAUUUAUAUUUAUUUGGUUGUUAGGUGUAGGUAUGUCGGGAUUUUGUUUGGAAAAUUUGCAGUGCUACUUUAUAGCCAGUUUUAUUAAACUUUUAUUUAUAAUUUAGUUUAAUAUUUUAUUGUUGAAGGGUUAGAAAGUGAAUGAAGAGAGACAUGGAAUAUGAAGAGGAAGUGCAUGAAGCGUUCGUUAUCUCAAGCCAUGACGACGAAUCAUCACACGCAGCAGAUUCACGUCUGGAAGAAGUGCUAUCAGAAACCACCACAACCUGCUCCAAGCGCCUCCUCUCAGCCGCAUGGAUCGAACUAAACCUCCUAUUUCCCCUUGCAGGACC
rnacentral:lncRNA from 1 species